rnacentral:rRNA from 1 species
AUUGAACGCUGGCGGCAGGCCUAACACAUGCCAGUCGAGCGGAUGAAGGGGGCUUGCUCCUGGAUUCAGCGGCGGACGGGUGAGUAAUGCCUAGGAAUCUGCCUGGUAGUGGGGGAUAACGUCCGGAAACGGGCGCUAAUACCGCAUACGUCCUGAGGGAGAAAGUGGGGGAUCUUCGGACCUCACGCUAUCAGAUGAGCCUAGGUCGGAUUAGCUAGUUGGUGGGGUAAAGGCCUACCAAGGCGACGAUCCGUAACUGGUCUGAGAGGAUGAUCAGUCACACUGGAACUGAGACACGGUCCAGACUCCUACGGGAGGCAGCAGUGGGGAAUAUUGGACAAUGGGCGAAAGCCUGAUCCAGCCAUGCCGCGUGUGUGAAGAAGGUCUACGGAUUGUAAAGCACUUUAAGUUGGGAGGAAGGGCAGUAAGUUAAUACCUUGCUGUUUUGACGUUACCAACAGAAUAAGCACCGGCUAACUUCGUG